UACGAGGGGGGCGAGCGUUGUUCGGAAUUAUUGGGCGUAAAGGGCGCGUAGGCGGUCGGAUAAGUCUUGUGUGAAAUCUUCGGGCUCAACUCGAAGUCUGCACAGGAAACUAUCUGGCUUGAGUGUGGGAGAGGUGAGUGGAAUUCCUGGUGUAGCGGUGAAAUGCGUAGAUAUCGGAAGGAACACCUGUGGCGAAAGCGGCUCACUGGACUAUUACUGACGCUGAUGCACGAAAGCUAGGGGAGCAAACAGG
rnacentral:rRNA from 1 species